CCUACGGGUGGCAGCAGUGGGGAAUAUUGCACAAUGGGGGAAAGCCUGAUGCAGCGACGCCGCGUGAGUGAAGAAGUAUUUCGGUAUGUAAAGCUCUAUCAGCAGGGAAGAAAAUGACGGUACCUGAUUACUUCGCCCCGGCUACCUACGUGCCAGCAGCCGCGGUAAUACGUAGGGGGCAAGCGUUAUCCGGAUUUACUGGGGGUAAAGGGAGCGUAGACGGCAGCACAAGUGUGGAGUGAAAUGCCGGGGCUUAACCCCGGAACUGCUGUUGAAACUGGGCAGCUAGAGUGCAGGAGAGGUAAGUGGAAUUCCUAGUGUAGCGGUGAAAUGCGUAGAUAUUAGGAGGAACACCAGUGGCGAAGGCGGCUUACUGGACUGUAACUGACGUUGAGGCUCGAAAGCGUGGGGAGCAAACAGGAUUAGAUACCCGGGUAGUC
rnacentral:rRNA from 1 species